CCUGGACUCAAGUGAUCUGCCGUCCUUGGCCUCCCAAAGUGCUGGAAUUACAGGCGUGAGCCACUGCACCUGACCUCCAUUUUCCUCUGGUCUUUCAGAGAGCCCAGGCAGAAGCUAUUAUCAUCAAAGGAUGAUUGCAGAAAGGAUGACCUACAAGUGGAUGGUCAGAUCUGGCUGCAAAUGGAUGUCUGAAAGAAAACGGGGAUCCUAGGAAACCCAUCACAGCCCUCUAUGAGCUUCAGAAACCAGCAAGCAGUCCCAGCUAAGGUCCCGGUCAGCAGCCAGCAUUGACCACCAGAUGUGUGAAUGAAGAGGCCUUCAGAUGAUUGCAGCCCCUAUUGUUAAGGCAACCCCAACCUCCGAGUCUUCCCAGCAGAGGAUUCAGCUACUAUGGAGUCAAGAUAAGUCAUUCCCACUGUACCCUGUCUGGGGUCCUGACACAUGAAGAUUGGAAGUGGUUUGUCACAUAGCAAUAGUAACUGAAACACUGGGAGAGGGACGUCUUUAAGAGGAGAAAUUAAGUUCCCAAUGAGAUUUUAAAGAUGUACUAAUGAAACAAUCAAGUAGAGAUAUCAAGUAGUUAGUUGGACAUGUGAGCGUAAGCAGACUUCUUGGCUGGAGAUAUACUAAUGGCAAACAGCAUAUGGAUGUCAUUUAAUUUCCCAGGCCUGGGUGAGAUCACCUACAGCAGGAGGUGGACAGAGAAGAGGAGCUGGUUCAAGACCUCAUUCUGAGGAAGCCCAGUAUUUAGAGGUAGGGAAGAGAAGGAAGAGCCAGAAAAGGGAAUUGAGACAGAGUGCCCAGGGAGGCAAGAAAAAAAAAACACCCAAGAGAAUGGUUUGUCACAAAAGCUGAGAGAGAACAUUAUUUCCAGAACAAAGAGAGCGGUCAACUUUGUGGGAAACUAUUGAGAGUCAAAAAAGAUAAGAGAAAAAUGGUCAUUAGAUUUGGCAACAAAGAGAUCACUUGAGACCUUGAAAAGAACAAUUUCAGUGGGAGUGGAUGGGGCAGACACAUAAUGGGGGUUUUGAUCUCUCAGGGAAAGAAGAGCAGUCUAUUAUUUCAGAAAAAGUUGGAUCAGCCAUGCCAUAUGCAGCUAGCUUAAGUGCUACUGAAACGACACAAUUUACCUGCUUAGACAAACAGCAUAAUGUAGCAAACAGCAUAAAUUUUUAGCAUUAGACAGAACUGGGUUGAAAUUCUACAGACAAAUUACUUAAACUCAUUAUGGUUCAGUUUGUUUAUCUGUAAACUGCAGAGGAAAAAACCACUUUUCUUCUAUUCUCCUAGGUUCUACAGUUAGGAACCUAGAAAUUGAACUGACAAAAGACAGGUUAACAAGAGAAAAACAGAGCUUAUGAAUGUGUGCAAUGCACAUGCAUUUGGGAGAAACUCAGUGAUGAGUGUAACUUGCAGGAGUAGUUGUUAUGUAGCAUCGUAACAAAGAUGCUACAUAAAAACUACUCAGUGAUGAGUAGUUUGCAGGAGUAGUUGUUAUGUAGCAUCGUAACGAAGAAUGGUGUAUUUGUAGAGAUGUGGCAAAACGAAGGAAAAGGGGUUUAAGCUUUUGGAGUGACAAAUUGUGGGGAGGUAAAUAUGUGGAGAGAAACUAAUGGAAAAUAGGAGUUAUUUUAUUAGGGUUUACUAUGUAGGUACCUUUUGGUGCUAUCUCUGGGCUAGAGUUAUCUCCUCGUCUCUAGUGAUUAUGAGUCUAAGAGUUUCCUCUUCCUGGUAUG
rnacentral:lncRNA from 1 species